rnacentral:rRNA from 1 species
UACGUAGGGGGCAAGCGUUGUCCGGAAUCAUUGGGCGUAAAGCGCGUGUAGGCGGUCCGGUAAGUCCGCUGUGAAAGUCGGGGGCUCAACCCUCGGAUGGCGGUGGAUACUGUCGGGCUUGAGUACGGAAGAGGCGAGUGGAAUUCCUGGUGUAGCGGUGAAAUGCGCAGAUAUCAGGAGGAACACCAAUUGCGAAGGCAGCUCGCUGGGACGUUACUGACGCUGAGACGCGAAAGCGUGGGGAGCAAACAGG